rnacentral:rRNA from 1 species
AACGAACGCUGGCGGCAUGCCUAACACAUGCAAGUCGAACGAGUUCUUCGGGUCUAGAGGCGCACGGGUGCGUAAUGCGUGGGGAUCUGGCCAUUGGUUGGGAAUAACAGUUGGAAACGACGUAUAAUACCGGAUGAUGACCAAAGUCCACAGAUUAAACGUCAGAGGAUGAGCCCGUGUAGGAUUAGUUAGUUGGGGUGGUAAAGGCGUACCAAGGCAACAAGCGUUAGCUGGUCGGAGAGGCUGAUCAGCCACACGGGGACUGAGACACGGCCCAAACUCCUACGGUAGGCAGCAGUGGGGAAAAUUGAACAAUGGGCGAAAGCUUCAUCCAGCAAUGCCGGGGGAGUGAUGAAGGCCUUAGGGUUGUAAAGCUCUUUUACCCGGGAUGAAAAUGACAGUACCGGGAGAAUAAGCGCCGGCUAACUCCGUGCCAGCCGCCGCGGUAA